GCCUUGGACCAGGUGGGAUAGGAGCAGGGGUUCUUGCUGGGAAGGCUGGGUACCCCACUGGGACAGGUGUUGGAGCACAGGCGGCAGCAGCAAAAGCGGCAGCUAAAUAUGGAGCCGGUGUCCUGCCUGGGGCUGGCGGCAUCCCAGGGGUGGGCGGCGUGGUGCCCGGUGUCGGUGUUGUUCCAGGAGCUGGAGGUGCAGGGGUGCUGCCCGGGGUCGGAGGUGUCCCAGGUCUUGUGCCUGGUGUCGGCGGUGUGCCUGGCUUGGUUCCUGGUGUCGGAGGUGUCCCUGGGGUGGCAGGAGUUGGGACACCAGCAGGAGCAGCAGCAGCAGCCAAGGCAGCUAAGUAUGGAGCUGGCGUUCCCGGUGUUGGCGUUCCCGGCGUUGGCGUUCCUGGCGUUGGCAUUGGAGGCGUGCCUGGUGUGCCUGGUGUGCCUGGUGUACCUGGUGUGCCUGGUGUACCUGGUGUGCCUGGUGUUCCUGGUGUGGCUGGUGUUCCUGGUGUGGUACCUGGCGUUGGAGGUGAGCAGAUGGGCUGGCAUGAGGGGACAACAUGGUGCCAGCUUCGCCAGUUCCCCUGACACCCUCUCUUCUGUUCCUGCAGUGGGUGGCCCAGCAGCUGCUGCUGCAGCAAAGGCUGCAGCAAAAGCAGCCGCAUUUGGAGCAGGGCGUGUGCCUGGGGUCGGCGUGCCUGGCGGUGUGCCUGGGGUCGGUGUACCAGGAGUCGGUGUUCCUGGAGUCGGAGUACCUGGAAUUGGUGUACCUGGAGUUGGAGUACCUGGGGUCGGUGUUCCCGGAGUUGGCGUACCCGGUCUGGUGCCUGGAGCUGGCCCAGCUGCUGCUGCUAAAGCAGCUGCCAAAGCUGCCAAGUACGCAGGAGCAGGUGGCUUGGCACCUGGCGUGGGAGGUCUGGCACCUGGCAUAGGAGGUCUGGCACCUGGUGUGGGAGGCCUUGCUCCUGGUGUAGGUGGCCUUGCUCCUGGUGUAGGUGGCCUGGCCCCUGGCGUUGGAGGUGUUCCAGGUGUUGGAGGUCCAGCAGCAGCCGCAAAAGCAGCAGCUAAGGCAGCCAAAUACGGUGCUGGUGUUGGAGGGGUGCCGGGUGCUGUGCCCGGUGCUCCUGGUGUGCCAGGAGUGACACCUGGCAUCGGUGGUGUGCCCGGCUUAGUGCCAGGCGUAGGGGUGCCCGGUGCCGGCGUUCUCCCCGGAGCAGGCAUCCCUCAGGUCGGGGUGCAGCCUGGUGCUAAGCCUCCCAAAUUCGGUGUGCCCGGGGCUGGGGUCCCAGGGGUCGGUGGCAUCCCAGGUGGCCUCGGAGUUGGUGGCCUUGGAGUUGGUGGCCUCGGUGCUGGGGCUGGAGUUCCCGGUUUUGGUGUGUCACCGAUAUUUCCAGGUGGGGUUGGUGGCCAGCUGGGAUUUGGCGGUGAGUGCACUCUGGUCACACGCAUGGGGAUGUUGGGUUGGAGUCCCCUCAAAAGGCACUUGUCCCCACGCUGCCCCCCGCCCCACUCAUCUCUCUGCCUUGUCCCCACAGGGAAGCCCCCCAAGACCUACGGAGGAGCCCUGGGGGCCCUGGGCUUUAGAGGUGAGCGCUGUUUGGCUUUUCCCCACCCCUCCUCCGAGCACCUUUUUGGGGCACAGCUGGGGGGCUGAUCCACUCUCCCCCCUCCAUCCCCAGGUGGAAUUGGCUGUGCACAAGGGAAAUACUGCGGGAGGAAGCGGAAGUAACCGCCCACCGUCACCGAUGACCUCAUGAACUUUGGUGCUACUGCAUGGUCCAGAAUGUAAAUCCCCACCAAGCUGAGACCCCCCUGGCCCCACGCUCCCGGCAGGGACCCCACGGCAGCGUCAGGGGCCGCCCCCCCACCUCGGGAACCCCC
ensembl:lncRNA